UUACGGCCAUGUCACGUUUAAACACCGGUUCUCAUCCGUUCACGGAUGUUAAGCAACGGUGAGCUAGGUCAGUAACUAAAUGAGUUACCGCUCGGGAGUACCAGGUGCUGUAUG